rnacentral:tRNA from 1 species
UGAGGCAUUAGCUCAGUUGGUAGAGCAUAUCCCUUUUAAGGAUAGGGUCGAUGGUUCGAACCCAUCAUGCCUCAU